AAUGAACGUUGGCGGCGUGGAUUAGGCAUGCAAGUCGAGCGAGAACCUUUUGAGCUUGCUUAGAAGGGGACAGCGGCGGACGGGAGAGUAACGCGUGGACUACCUACCUUUGGGUUUGGGAUAGCCGUGGGAAACCGCGGAUAAUACCAAAUAACAUCUCCGGAUCAAAGCUCCGGCGCCCAAAGACGGGUCCGCGUCCUAUUAGCUUGUUGGUAAGGUAACGGCUUACCAAGGCUACGAUGGGUACCGGGUGUGAGAGCAUGACCCGGCUCACUGGGACUGAGACACUGCCCAGACACCUACGGGUGGCUGCAGUCGAGAAUCUUCGGCAAUGGACGAAAGUCUGACCGAGCGACGCCGCGUGCGGGAUGAAGGCCUUCGGGUUGUAAACCGCUGUCAGAGGGGAUGAAAUUUUGACAUAUCCUCAGAGGAAGGACGGGCUAAGUUCGUG
rnacentral:rRNA from 1 species